rnacentral:rRNA from 1 species
AUUGAACGCUGGCGGCAGGCCUAACACAUGCAAGUCGAGCGGUAGCACAGAGAGCUUGCUCUCGGGUGACGAGCGGCGGACGGGUGAGUAAUGUCUGGGAAACUGCCUGAUGGAGGGGGAUAACUACUGGAGGCGGUAGCUAAUACCGCAUAACGUCGCAAGACCAAAGUGGGGGACCUUCGGGCCUCAUGCCAUCAGAUGUGCCCAGAUGGGAUUAGCUGGUAGGUGGGAUAACGGCUCACCUAGGCGACGAUCCCUAGCUGGUCUGAGAGGAUGACCAGCCACACUGGAACUGAGACACGGUCCAGACUCCUACGGGAGGCAGCAGUGGGGAAUAUUGCACAAUGGGCGCAAGCCUGAUGCAGCCAUGCCGCGUGUGUGAAGAAGGCCUUCGGGUUGUAAAGCACUUUCAGCGGGGAGGAAGGCGGUGAGGUUGAUAACCUCACUGAUUGACGUUACCCGCAGAAGAAGCACCGGCUAACUCCGUGCCAGCAGCCGCCGUAA